rnacentral:tRNA from 1 species
CCCGCCCUAGUAGCUUAAACCUAAAGCGCUGGUCUUGUAAGCCAGAAAUGAAAUACACCCUCCUAGGACA